CCUACGGGGGGCAGCAGUGAGGAAUAUUGGUCAAUGGCCGAGAGGCUGAACCAGCCAAGCCGCGUGAGGGAAGACGGUCCUACGGGUCGUAAACCUCUUUUGUCGGGGAGCAAAGCGUGUCACGUGUCCCCCAUUGAGUGUACCUGAAGAAAAAGCAUCGGCUAACUCCGUGCCAGCAGCCGCGGUAAUACGGAGGAUGCGAGCGUUAUCCGGAUUUAUUGGGUUUAAAGGGUGCGCAGGCGGUCGGAUAAGUUAGCGGUGAAAUCCCGAGGCUCAACGUCGGAACUGCCUCUGAAACUGUGAGGCUAGAGAGGAGGUGAGGUAGGCGGAAUGCGUGGUGUAGCGGUGAAAUGCAUAGAGAUCGUGCAGAACACCGAUUGCGAAGGCAGCAUGCCGGGCUAACACUGACGUUGAGGCACGAAAGCGUGGGGAGCGAACAGGAUUAGAUACCCUUGUAGUC
rnacentral:rRNA from 1 species